UUUGUUCAUCAGCAAUGUACAUAUAUACCUGUUUUCUCUCUAUCUUUGUGAGUUUUUGAGUCUAUUUUUCUUUUCUUUUUCUCCUACUUGGCUCUGGGUUUGCCCUUUAUUAUCAUUUUUGGUUAUGACUUUUGGACGUUUUAAAAAAUGAUUACUAACAGGAAUGUUCAUGCAGCAAUAUAUUGUAAAUGAGAUGUUUAUUUCAUUUUUUCAACUGUGUCUUGCCUUUAUGUUACAUCAUAUUAAUUUGACAGCAAUCAAACAUACAAUUUCCUUCUUCAUUCCACAUUUUCUGUCUUUGAUUUUUUUUUGGCUUAAAGGCAAGUGACCAAAGAGAGUGUGUUACAUGCACUUCAGGUGAUGUUAAUUUAGUAUUAUUAGUAUUAUUGAUAUUGAGCACAGACUCAAAGAGCAGGAACACGGCCUAUUGUUUUUGUUGGUGUGUAGCAUCAUGGUCCUGCAAAUGCAGAGUAAUUAAAAUCAAACUUGAUCAAUUCAUACAUUUUAACCUGUUGUGAAAUUUCAAAUGUUUAAAAAAAUUUUUCAGAGCACAAUUGUAAGUUCUUUUUUCUUCCAAACCGCACUGUAGUUGGAUGAUGGAUAUGACCAAUUGCUUGAGACUGGAGUACAACAGCGGUUAAUGUGCUGCAAGCUGGCAUCAAGUUGUUCUCUUAUCAGGUCCUGGAGAGUUUUGGAGUCAAAUGCAAGUGCUAAUGAAAUGCAGGACAUCCAGUGGACCACCAGAAGACUGUGUAUUCUCUCUGGAUUCUGGAUAACUAGAGCUACACACAAUGUGAGUAGAAUAAGAAGAGUUGGCACUUUUUUCAAGCUAUGCUGACAACUACACAUUUGCCAACUGAUCUCCAUUAAGCUCUUACUCGUUGCUUCAUUGAGAAGAAAGUUACAGAUGUUCAAAUAUCUAAAGAUUUUUAUUCACUGAGAAAACCUGAUGACACAGUUGAGGUUUCAUUAAAAAAAAAAAAUUAACAUGACGUUUUGGGUCAGUUUUGUACACUUUGAUAUGUGCUUUUCCAGACAGCUUUUGCUCAAUUUUAUCUAAAAUUCCUUGAUACCUGGUUGUCUUUGGGUUUGUGGGAUAAUCUUCAAAAGUAUGGUAAUUCCCAUCAAACACAUUCUUAAAUCCAGGACGAGGAAUGAUGUAAUCACAACGAUUUAGAAAUGAUGUAAUCACAACGAUUUAAGCACAACAAUUCACUGAAAUGUGUUGUCUUCACAUUAGUUAAUAUUAGUUAGGCUUUGACUGAUGAUCACACUCACUGUUUAAACAUGAACUCUAACACUGAACCAUGACCUUUCCUAAGUACCAUAAAGGCAUCUCCUGACCAGUUUGGUCUAAAAUGGAGGAUUUUCGUGUUGUUUUGCCACUGUCAUUUAUCAGCCAACACAGCCACGAUGUUCCUGGCUGAGGUUCUUGCCAGUUUCUUAUAGUCCCAAUGACCAGAACUGGCACUCAAAACCAAGGCUCUAAUCACCAACAGAUUCAACAGAUUUGGGGUUUGUUAUAAAAUAAUGUUAUUCAAUCCCAGUCCUGGUCAAAAAUAAAUGUAAUGAAGUUGAAUAUUUUAUUUUUUUUUAAAAAAAGUAAAAAUACUAUGAUUUGAUUAUCCUUGCCCUGCCCCUACCAUUUUGGUGUUUGCUCACUCAUAUGACCUAAUUCAACUCAUCGGCUAAUUACCAAACCUGAACUCAGUUUGCUGGGUGAGUCAGAGAAGGGAAAACACCAAAAUAUUCAGGGUGGAUACUCUAGAAACAGAAUUGAGGAGCACCAUUACAUCAUGUUCCUUGGUUAUAUGUCUUCGUUAUGCCAUUGCUUCAUGGAUCUACCAUUUAUCUGAAGUGUGUUCUGUAGGUUCACUGGAAUCAGAUCUAGAUAAUUAAUAGAUUUUUGGAUUUGUACUAAACCCUUGCAUUAAGAUUUAGUUCGGAAGCUGUAAAAAAUAAAUAUACCACAGGGGUGGUCAGAUCAGUUACCCACACAAACUAUAAACAGAUUAUGCAACCAGUUUUUUAAUCCUGAUUUCCCAGCAGACAUGUAGGUUCAGUUCAUUCCUGAAUCCUGCCACCUGCUAACCUACAGACAUCAACCAUCACCUUGCAGUUAACUUGAGCCAAAAUGAAGACAAUAGCCAGACCAAGAUAGCGUCUUGGAGAGAACAACAUAGCAAAUAGCUAAAAUGUUAGCCAAAGAUUUGCUGUUGUUUUGCCAAGUGUGCAGACACAAUAUGCUAUGUUAGAAACAUUAUCAGGAGAGGAUAAGGACUAUAGUUACAUAAAGUCAUGCUUUUCUCAGGGAUUUGAGUACUCAUUCAUUGUUUUGGGCAAUUAAGUGUAUAUUCUUAUGCACAUCCCAAGUAUGUAUUAAUACACUUAACCAUCUAACUAGUAAUACUUUUGGGUUAAAAUCAGUGGUUGAAAGAGUACAAAACUCACUGAUUUGAGUAUAGACACUGCUACUGCAGUAGUAAAUGACUUCAGUAACAGUAAAAGUAUUGAUCAAAAGAAAUUGAGUAAAAAUUACUCAAGUAUGAUUAAAUAAGUCAUCUGGUAGAAAACUACUUGAGUAAUUACUUUUUACAAAUUACUUUUUAUGUUUAGAAUUGGCACAACUAACCUGAAAAUGUUCCAUAUCUGAGGAAAGCAUUUUUUUUUAACAAUUAUGUUAACUAGCUAGUUAGCUAGCUCAUAUUAAUUCAUAUAUGUUUCUAGCUACAUAAUUAGCUAUCUAGCAAAGAUGCUACACAUUAUCCUGAGCACUACGUAUAGACUGUAGCAGCAUUUAGAUAUAUUUAACACAACAGACAAUCACUACAGAACAUCGAAGUGAUAUCUUAAGUCCACAGGUUUUGGCUUGCAUAAUUUGCAGAUCAUUAUCGUACUAUUUUCCUUUGAAUUAUUAAAAAAAAUUA